GGUCAAGUGAAAGCAGGGUCCAUGCGUGGAUGCCUGGGAGCUGUGAGGCGAAGAAGGGCGCGGCCAGCCGCGAAAGUCCGGGGGGAGGAGCCAGCAUCCGACGAUCCCCGGGUACCCGAAUGGGGUAACCCACCUGCCCUGAUGGCAGGUACCUGCACGCCAAUGAAAUAACGUGCAGGGGCGAUACGCUGGGAAGUGAACCAUCUAAGUACCAGCAGGAAAGGAAAUCAACAGAGAUUCCCCCAGUAGCGGCGAGCGAACGGGGAGAAGCCCAAACCGCAUGCGGCGACGUGUGCGGGGUUGGAGGGCGCACGACGAGGCUGGAGAAAGCCGGAGGGCAGUCGAACGGUCUGGGAAGGCCGGCGAGAGAGGGUGAAAGCCCCGUAGACGAAACCCGAAGGGCAGCCGAGUGCGUACCUGAGUACGGCGGGACACGAGGAAUCCUGCCGGAAUCCGGGUCGACCACGAUCCAAGGCUAGAUACUACACAGCUACCGAUAGCGCAUAGUACCGUGAGGGAAAGGUGAAAAGGACCCCGGGAGGGGAGUGAAAGAGAACCUGAAACCAUGGACCCACAAGCGGUCAGAGCCACUUAAGUGGUGAUGGCGUGCCUUUUGUAG
rnacentral:rRNA from 1 species